CCUACGGGGGGCAGCAGUGGGGAAUAUUGGACAAUGGGCGAAAGCCUGAUCCAGCCAUGCCGCGUGUGUGAAGAAGGCCUUCGGGUUGUAAAGCACUUUCAGUGGGGAAGAAAGCCUUGGGGCUAAUACCCUCGAGGAAGGACAUCACCUACAGAAGAAGCACCGGCUAACUCCGUGCCAGCAGCCGCGGUAAUACGGAGGGUGCGAGCGUUAAUCGGAAUUACUGGGCGUAAAGCGCGCGUAGGCGGUCUGAUAAGCCGGUUGUGAAAGCCCCGGGCUCAACCUGGGAGCGGCAUCCGGAACUGUCAGGCUAGAGUGCAGGAGAGGAAGGUAGAAUUCCCGGUGUAGCGGUGAAAUGCGUAGAGAUCGGGAGGAAUACCAGUGGCGAAGGCGGCCUUCUGGACUGACACUGACGCUGAGGUGCGAAAGCGUGGGUAGCAAACAGGAUUAGAUACCCCUGUAGUC
rnacentral:rRNA from 1 species